rnacentral:lncRNA from 1 species
UUAAAGACUAGUCCAAAAGUAGAAGAUGGAUCAACUUCGAUCGUCAAGAGCUCACCCUAAGUCUUCGAUCAAAAUGCUCCGCACGAGAAAAACGUCAGCGGCGAUGGCUCGUACUAGGAUCUGCAUCAGGAAAAAGUGGAAAAAAGAUGUAGAAGUGUAGUACGAGUACCAAAACUCGAGGUACCCAGUAGGCAUCAUAGCGCGACUGAGCUCAGAUAAGAUAUAAUAAAAUGCGAAUAUAAGCGAAGGUUAAGUAUAGUAAGGCCAGAAAGGGGAUAAUAGUUCAAAUCUAUAUGAUUACUAGAAAUGUAAGUAAGUUACCACCAAACACAUAAUAAUAAGUUAUCUAAAAACUAAUCAGGCCCCUGUAAAUCUAGAAGGCACAGACACAAGCAAUAUAACCCAACCGACCCCUAUAAGCAUGGUGGACCCGCCCCUAUAAGCAUGGUGGAUACAAGCAACAAACAAUACUAAUUACAAGCAAUGCAUAAAAUAAAUAGAUAAGUACGAAUGGAUGUCACGAAAUGCAAUAUGAGAUGAAUAUCAUGUACACAAUACCUUAGCCACCGGCCAGAGGUUGUGGUGCUCAGGGUAGUUGGGGUGGUUCCCAGGGGUGCUCAGUCGGGUAGGGAAAGUGGUGGUUUGGGUACUUAGUCCGAUGGUGGGCGUGGAUAGUUGUAUGUCUAUCCUGGUAGACCAGAGGCGGAGGCAUCAAAUGUCAUGAUCAUAAGUACAAUUUCAGUUUGUCGUCACCCAGCCUCUGUCUUAUUUAAUCCGGGUUCUACAUAUUCAUAUGUGUUUGCAUACUUUGCUUGUCGUUUGGGGUUGUCUAUUGAGCCCUUGCCUGUUCCUGUGUGUGUAGUUACUCCCACAGGUGAUUCUUUAGUAGUGGAUCGGGUUUAUAAAUUUUGUAUGAUGACUCUUUGGGAGUAUGACACUUGGGCAGACCUUUUCGUGCUUGAUAUGGUAAAUUUUGAUGCUAUUCUUGGCAUGGACUGGUUAUCCCCUUAUCAUGCUAUCUCGGAUUGCUUCGCCAAGACCGUUGUCUUAGCCAUGCUUGGCAUAUCCCCGAUCGUGUGGCAAGGUUCUGAUAGUCACGCACCAACAGGGACCAUUUCUUAUGUUCAGGUUAGGAGGUUAGUGUUGAAGGGGUGCUUGGCCUACCUUGCUUAUGUAGCCUUAGGCUCUGUUGGUAUCAAACAAGUCUCAUAGUACACCUUCAAAUUCAAA